rnacentral:misc_RNA from 1 species
GGAAGGAUCAUUACAGAGUUCAUGCCCGAAAGGGUAGACCUCCCACCCUUGUGUAUUAUUACUUGUUGCUUUGGCGAGCUGCCUUCGGGCCUUGUAUGCUCGCCAGAGAAAACCAAAACUCUUUUUAUUAAUGUCGUCUGAGUACUAUAUAAUAGUUAAAACUUUCAACAACGGAUCUCUUGGUUCUGGCAUCGAUGAAGAACGCAGCGAAAUGCGAUAAGUAAUGGUGAAUUGCAGAAUUCAGUGAAUCAUCGAAUCUUUGAACGCACAUUGCGCCCCUUGGUAUUCCGGGGGGCAUGCCUGUUCGAGCGUCAUUUCAACCCUCAAGCUUAGCUUGGUAUUGAGUCUAUGUCAGUAAUGGCAGGCUCUAAAAUCAGUGGCGGCGCCGCUGGGUCCUGAACGUAGUAAUAUCUCUCGUUACAGGUUCUCGGUGUGCUUCUGCCAAAACCCAAAUUUUUCUAUGGUUGACCUCGGAUCAGGUAGGGAUACCCGCUGAACUUAAGCAUAUCAAUAAGCGGAGGAAAAGAAACCAACAGGGAUUACCUCAGUAACGGCGAGUGAAGCGGUAAAAGCUCAAAUUUGAAAUCUGGCUCUUUUAGAGUCCGAAUUGUAAUUUGUAGAAGAUGCUUCGGGUGUGGUUCCGGUCUAAGUUCCUUGGAACAGGACGUCAUAGAGGGUGAGAAUCCCGUAUGUGACUGGAUACCUAUGCUCAUGUGAAGCUCUUUCGACGAGUCGAGUUGUUUGGGAAUGCAGCUCAAAAUGGGAGGUAUAUUUCUUCUAAAGCUAAAUAUUGGCCAGAGACCGAUAGCGCACAAGUAGAGUGAUCGAAGAUGAAAAGCACUUUGAAAGAGAGUUAAACAGUACGUGAAAUUGUUGAAAGGGAAGCGCUUGCAAUCAGACUUGCACUUGGUGUUCAUCAGGGUCUCGUACCCUGUGUACUUCAUCAAGUUCAGGCCAGCAUCAGUUUGAGUGGUUAGAUAAAGGCUUAGAGAAUGUGGCCCUCUUCGGGGGGUGUUAUAGCUCUAGGUGCAAUGUAGCCUACUUGGACUGAGGACCGCGCUUCGGCUAGGAUGCUGGCCGUAAUGGUUGUAAGCGACCCGUCUUGAAACACGGACCAAGGAGUGUACCUAAUAUGCGAGUGUUUGGGUGUUAAACCCAUACGCGUAAUGAAAGUGAACGCUGGUGAGAACCCUUAAGGGUGCAUCAUCGACCGAUCUUGAUGUCUUCGGAUGGAUUUGAGUAAGAGCAUAUUGGGUGCGACCCGAAAGAUGGUGAUCUAUACGUGAAUAGGGUGAAGCCAGAGGAAACUCUGGUGGAGGCUCGCAGCGGUUCUGACGUGCAAAUCGAUCGUCAAAUUUGCGUAUAGGGGCGAAAGACUAAUCGAACCAUUAAGGAAUAGACCAAGCUCUAGGUGGUUGAGAAACCCCCUUGGGGUAUUAGUCCUGGAGACAGGGCGACAUUGUCAAAUUGUUCGGGGACCACCUGUUAAAUUACAUACUACCGCAGCAGUGCUGAAAGGCCUGUGAGCACUAGAGGUAACGCCUCUAGGGAUGGUAAUAACGUAUGUAUAGGGUAUAUCCGCAGCGAAGUUCUAAGGCCUCACGGCUACGAAUCGCGUUCACAGACUAGACGGCAAUGGGCUCCUAACGGGGCUUAAGAUAUAGUCGAACCCCUCAGAGAUGAGGAUGGAAUCAAAGCUAGUAGCUGGUUCCUGC